GCCCGCGUAGCUCAGUGGAUUAGAGCGCUCGCCUCCGGAGCGAGAGGUCGCAGGUUCGACCCCUGCCGCGGGUACCA
rnacentral:tRNA from 2 species